UACGAAGGGGGCUAGCGUUGUUCGGAAUCACUGGGCGUAAAGGGCGCGUAGGCGGCUUUAUAAGUCGGGGGUGAAAGCCUGUGGCUCAACCACAGAAUUGCCUUCGAUACUGUAGAGCUUGAGACCGGAAGAGGUAAGUGGAACUGCGAGUGUAGAGGUGAAAUUCGUAGAUAUCAGGAGGAACACCAAUUGCGAAGGCAGCUCGCUGGGACGUGACUGACGCUGAGACGCGAAAGCGUGGGGAGCAAACAGG
rnacentral:rRNA from 1 species